rnacentral:rRNA from 1 species
GAUGAACGCUGGCGGCGUGCCUAAUACAUGCAAGUCGAGCGAACAGACGAGGAGCUUGCUCCUCUGACGUUAGCGGCGGACGGGUGAGUAACACGUGGAUAACCUACCUAUAAGACUGGGAUAACUUCGGGAAACCGGAGCUAAUACCGGAUAAUAUAUUGAACCGCAUGGUUCAAUAGUGAAAGACGGUUUUGCUGUCACUUAUAGAUGGAUCCGCGCCGCAUUAGCUAGUUGGUACGGUAACGGCUUACCAAGGCAACGAUGCGUAGCCGACCUGCGAGGGUGAUCGGCCACACUGGAACUGAGACACGGUCCAGACUCCUACGGGAGGCAGCAGUAGGGAAUCUUCCGCAAUGGGCGAAAGCAUGACGGAGCAACGCCGCGUGAGUGAUGAAGGUCUUCGGAUCGUAAAACUCUGUUAUUAGUGAAGAACAAAUGUGUAAGUAACUAUGCACGUCUUGACGGUACCUAAUCAGAAAGCCACGGCUAACUACGUG